GUUACUUAAGUAAACCCACAUUAAAUAUAUUGACAUAUGCUGCCCAAACUCUCAGAGAAGAAAUUGUGAAAACAUUAAAACCUUUUAUUCCCUAGGAAUACAAAUAUCCACUGUGACCUAAAAUGCUACAACACCUUCAGGGUGCAGAGCGUUUGGGAGCCUUGAUGCUGUUUAUAGAAGGCAGUGAUGUGUUUCCAUUAGACUAUGAAUAAUUUUACAGUCAAGAAAUAUGACUAUCUCAUAUGCUUGCAUUAUAAAUCCAUGACCAUGAGUAUGGGAAUAACCCAAGCUGCAUACACACAAAUAUAUUUUUUCUAUUAAUGUGUGUUUGCUGUCUGUUUCCUUUCUGAUGUCUGCUAAUUUGCUCACAGACAAGCUGUAGCAGGCACUGAAUUGAAAAAAAAAAAGAAAAAGUGAAGAUUUAUGUAAGCCCAGUCUAGAUUUUUCUAUAGUGAUUCUGUUCUGAGUGCAAUUCAAUUCCAUAUGGAUUGUCUAAGGAUUCCUGGGCAGUACUUUGAUCAUCAACUGCCACUGUCCCUAAGCCUCUACCUCCCCCUUUGUAUUCACUGCUGCUGUAGACUCAAUUCUAUGGAUUCUUGUUACUCACUUCCUGGCGCCUCCCGACCCUCUCAGUCAGAAUCUGCAUUUUAACAAAUUUCCCAGGAAUUCAUGUCCAUACCAGCCUUUGAGAAGUUUUGCUCUUGGUCGCCUCUUGGCCUCUCAUAAAGGUAUUCCUCUUCACCUCUCCUGCUUUGUCUCAAGUAUGGACACCAAGGACUGCCUUGCCCCUGUGAUAUAUAAUACAUUUAAUUCAUGGCUUCCAGGGACCGAGGAGCAUAAUAGCAUGAGAACAUUGGAGAGUGUAUCUCAGAGUCUCUGCUCCCCAAGCCUGUCAUGGUUUCUUACAGGAGGACCAUCUCCUUCUCUCAACCUUACACUGAAGCUAUGUUCCUGGAGCCUACUCC
rnacentral:lncRNA from 1 species